rnacentral:rRNA from 1 species
UGGGGAAUAUUGGACAAUGGGCGAAAGCCUGAUCCAGCCAUCCCGCGUGUGCGAUGAAGGCCUUCGGGUUGUAAAGCACUUUUGGCAGGAAAGAAACGUCAUGGGUUAAUACCCCGUGAAACUGACGGUACCUGCAGAAUAAGCACCGGCUAACUACGUGCCAGCAGCCGCGGUAAUACGUAGGGUGCAAGCGUUAAUCGGAAUUACUGGGCGUAAAGCGUGCGCAGGCGGUUCGGAAAGAAAGAUGUGAAAUCCCAGAGCUCAACUUUGGAACUGCAUUUUUAACUACCGGGCUAGAGUGUGUCAGAGGGAGGUGGAAUUCCGCGUGUAGCAGUGAAAUGCGUAGAUAUGCGGAGGAACACCGAUGGCGAAGGCAGCCUCCUGGGAUAACACUGACGCUCAUGCACGAAAGCGUGGGGAGCAAACAGG